AGUGAACGCUGGCGGCAUGCCUUACACAUGCAAGUCGAACGGUAACAGGUCUUCGGAUGCUGACGAGUGGCGAACGGGUGGGUAAUACAUCGGAACGUGCCCGAUCGUGGGGGAUAACGAAGCGAAAGCUUUGCUAAUACCGCAUACGAUCUAAGGAUGAAAGCAGGGGACCGCAAGGCCUUGCGCGAACGGAGCGGCCGAUGGCAGAUUAGGUAGUUGGUGGGAUAAAAGCUUACCAAGCCGACGAGCUGUAGCUGGUCUGAGAGGACGACCAGCCACACUGGGACUGAGACACGGCCCAGACUCCUACGGGAGGCAGCAGUGGGGAAUUUUGGACAAUGGGCGAAAGCCUGAUCCAGCCAUGCCGCGUGCAGGAUGAAGGCCUUCGGGUUGUAAACUGCUUUUGUACGGAACGAAAAGACUCUGGUUAAUACCUGGGGUCCAUGACGGUACCGUAAGAAUAAGCACCGGCUAACUACGUGCCAGCCGCCGCCGUAA
rnacentral:rRNA from 1 species